rnacentral:rRNA from 1 species
UACGAAGGGGGCUAGCGUUGCUCGGAAUUACUGGGCGUAAAGGGCGCGUAGGCGGCACUGUUAGUCAGGCGUGAAAGUCCUGGGCUCAACCUGGGAACUGCGCUUGAUACGGCAGAGCUAGAGGAUGGAAGAGGCUCGCGGAAUUCCCAGUGUAGAGGUGAAAUUCGUAGAUAUUGGGAAGAACACCGGUGGCGAAGGCGGCGAGCUGGUCCACUACUGACGCUGAGGCGCGACAGCGUGGGGAGCAAACAGG